rnacentral:pre_miRNA from 1 species
AUUUGCUUCAAUCAAGUCCCUUCCGUUAAAUCCACAUAAACGGAGAGAAAAAAAAAAUUAACGUCCGUUUAUGUGGAUUUAAUGGAAGGGACUUGAUUGAAGCAAAUUU